GAUUAACGCUGGCGGCGCGCAUCAUACAUGCAAGUCGAGCGAGGGCUCUUCUCCCGCAAGGGAGGGGAGUUCCUAGCGGCGAACGGGUGCGUAACACGUGGGCAACCUGCUCCGUCGUGGGGAAUAAGCCCGGGAAACCGGGUCUAAUGCCGCAUGAGGUCACCGAUCGCAUGGUCGGUGAAGAAAGCCUUCGGGCGCGA
rnacentral:rRNA from 1 species